AAAGGUCAUAACAAGGUUUUCCUGCUAGGUGAAACCCUGCAGAAGGAUCAUUAGUGAAGCAAUAGGGGAACCCACUCGCUGGGCCCCGACCCUCAACCUUAUCCACGACACCUGUGAAACCCGUUCGGGUCCGUGGGUCUCCCCUUACGCGGGGCCAGGCUGAGGGACUGGCCAAUCCCCCUUUUUUAAACAAACCCUGAGUACGUGGAAUGUAGUUUGAUAUUAUCUUGCCGCAAGGCAGAACUAAACACAA
rnacentral:misc_RNA from 1 species